AUUUCUAGUUUCAAAGGAUGAGCUCUGUUCCUUCUGUGGAAUUGAGGACCUGCCCAAAACUGAUGUUGAUGCUGUUUGGAUUCAGUGUGGAACUUGCUCAAGAUGGUUUCACACGCAGUGCCUUGGGAUGACAGCAGCACAAAUACCAAACAACAUUGGUAUUGUGUGUUGUGUAACUGAACACUUAGGAAUAUGUAUGUCUGACUUUGUCAGAUAAACUUGUUGACUUCAAGUUUAUCCAGUUAAAUGUUGUUCAAGCCGAACCAGUCAUGUAUACAUUGGUAUCUGAUCGUUCAUAAAGAUUAAAUGGGGGAAGUACUUGA